AGAGUUUGAUCCUGGCUCAGGAUGAACGCUAGCUACAGGCUUAACACAUGCAAGUCGCGGGGUAACAUCUGGUCGAGCUUGCUCUUCCAGGAUGACGACCGGCGCACGGGUGAGUAACGCGUAUCCAACCUGGCCCAUACCACGGGAUAGCCCGUCGAAAGGCGGAUUAAUACCGUAUGCUGUCAUUAAGAUGCAUAUAUUGAUGACGAAAGGACUGGCGGUAUGGGAUGGGGAUGCGUCUGAUUAGCUUGUUGGCGGGGUAACGGCCCACCAAGGCGACGAUCAGUAGGGGUUCUGAGAGGAAGGUCCCCCACAUUGGAACUGAGACACGGUCCAAACUCCUACGGGAGGCAGCAGUGAGGAAUAUUGGUCAAUGGGCGCAAGCCUGAACCAGCCAAGUAGCGUGAGGGAAGACUGCCCUACGGGUUGUAAACCUCUUUUGUUUGGGAAUAAAGUGCGGGACGUGUCCCGCAUUGCAUGUACCAUUUGAAUAAGGACCGGCUAAUUCCGUGCCAGCAGCCGCGGUAAUACGGAAGGUCCGGGCGUUAUCCGGAUUUAUUGGGUUUAAAGGGAGCGCAGGCCGUGGGUUAAGCGUGUCGUGAAAUUCUGUCGCUCAACGGCGGACGUGCGGCGCGAACUGGUCCACUUGAGUACGCGGGACGUUGGCGGAAUUCGUGGUGUAGCGGUGAAAUGCUUAGAUAUCACGAAGAACUCCGAUUGCGAAGGCAGCUGACGGUAGCGCAACUGACGCUGAGGCUCGAAAGUGCGGGUAUCGAACAGGAUUAGAUACCCUGGUAGUCCGCACGGUAAACGAUGGAUGCCCGCUAUUCGCCCACCUGGGCGAGUGGCCAAGCGAAAGCGUUAAGCAUCCCACCUGGGGAGUACGCCGGCAACGGUGAAACUCAAAGGAAUUGACGGGGGCCCGCACAAGCGGAGGAACAUGUGGUUUAAUUCGAUGAUACGCGAGGAACCUUACCCGGGCUUGAAUUGCAGAGGAAGGAUUUAGAGAUAAUGACGCCCCUCGGGGUCUCUGUGAAGGUGCUGCAUGGUUGUCGUCAGCUCGUGCCGUGAGGUGUCGGCUUAAGUGCCAUAACGAGCGCAACCCCUCUCCGUAGUUGCCAUCGGGUGAUGCCGGGCACUCUGCGGACACUGCCACCGUAAGGUGUGAGGAAGGUGGGGAUGACGUCAAAUCAGCACGGCCCU
rnacentral:rRNA from 1 species